ACAAGAUAGAUAUUCACUCUAAUUAGAAUUCUAUUCUUAACAAAUUACUAGUAUUCUAGUAGUAUUUUGCUAUUUAUUUUUAUAUUUAAAAAUGUGAGUGAAUUUUAAUUUUAACUUGUCUUAUUUUAAUUAGAAGAUAGCAUUUUCAGCUCAUUUUUAAGAGGUCUAACCCAUUAAAUUUGAGCCAAAAAAAAUAAAAAAGCUCAAUCUCAUGACCCUUAUACUAUUUUUCUUUCAUAUAAGACACAAACCUUAAACAAAAAAGGGGCAACCAUCAAACUAGACAAAGAUGGAGACCCAAAAACCCUAGUCUUCAUUAGAACCUCCAACCUCCCACCACACCCUUCACCACCUCUAGCCGUCACUCUCCACCCUUCUCUCCAAUCUGCCGCUCCUCACCACCCAAAUCUGACCACAACCCACGCAGACCAAGAGCACCCAUUGCCGUCGGUCAAACUCCCUCAUCCCCCCAACCAUCAAGCAUCAUUCUGCCACCUACUACCACAGUGAAGAACGCAAAUGCCGCCGCCCGUUUCCACCAAGAGCUGCCAAAAAAAUACUUUUACAAACUAGCAUCCAGCCAUCAUCUCCUCCAACCUAAUAUCCACAACCAAAAUCAGUGGCGGCUCCCUUCCCUUCUCCAUAUCCAGCGUCAAACACACCCCUGAGUGUAGUUGAUCACCCCCUUCCACCACCGUUCCUUCGUUGUCAACCAGCAGCAACCGCAAGCUGCAAAAGAAAAAUGAAAAAAAACUUAAGGGGGGUUUCUGUUAGUGUUCAUUAGGAGUUUAGUGUUCUUGUCUUUCCUAUUUAAGUCGGAAAAAUACCAAAACCUACACAAGUAAAUUGCUGUUCAUAUUUCGUUUUUAAUUUUGGAUUUGGCUUCAGAAAGAAAUGGAGUCUAAUUGAGGUUUGGAGCUCGAUUCGAGGUGUUUGUGGUCGUUGAUUUCCGUUCGUAGUUCCUGUUGCGGCUGAUGUUCAUAGCCAAUUUCUACAUGUUUCUGCGGUGUAACUCAAAGUCUGGAAGGUUGCAAUUCAUGAGUACUAAAGAAAAAUUAUUCUUCUGUGAAGGUCAAUUUUUCAUUCUGUCUUUUAGCUCAUUUCUUAUUGGUUUUGAUGAAUGCUUUAAAUUAAUCUGCUUCUGUGUUAGCAUAUUUUAGAUCUCAUUUAGUAUCUUAAUUUGAGCUCCUACUUGGUUCGUGCUUGCUUAGUGAAUUUAAUUUAGGCUACUACAUUAGAUAGCUAGUGAACAUGAUACAUAGUUUGAUUGGUCUAGAGUUAUGAGAACAUAAUAGCUCACCAAAUAAUUAAAAGUGAAGGAAAUAAUCUGGAAACUAUAGGGAAAUUUGUGCUCAAAAAGACAUAUUCUCCAUGAACCUUAUAUUUCAAAUGUCAUAUUUUUAGAAAAUAGAAUUUAAUCUCAUAGACUUGCUUUGGUUCAUAGUGGCAGUAGUUUUUUUUUUAUAGAUUUUUUAGAACUUUAGUAGUUAUUGAGAUAGUUAGAAAACCAUUUUAGUUAUUGCAUUCUUACUGUUGGUUUUUCGCCUUUUCUAUCUCUGUCUUUUUCGUGAUUUUAUAGUAUUUCAUGUCAAUAUUCUUCUUUAUGUGUUAUAUUUUCCAUCACUGUGUUUAAAUAUUUUUCUUUGUAGUAAAUUAGUUUAAGUAUUAGGGGAACAAUUAAUUGUCUAUGUGGUAUUGCAAACAAGAGAAAGUCUAAUAACAAAUAGUGAAAAUUAUCGAAUUUGCUUUGGGGUUGGACAUUAAGGAUGAAAGUUAGCGUGCUAAUUGUUUAUUCUAUUGCUUUAUUCUAUAGGAGCAUGUUAGGCCUACCACAUAACAUUAAGGAUGAAAGCUAGCGUGCUAAUUGUUUUAUUCUAUUGCUUUAUUCAAUAGGAGCAUGUUAGGCCGACCACAUUGGGUAGGCAAGCUUUAGGACUUCGGUUAAUUGUAAGGCGAGAGGUUGUUUCCUUAGUUAUUUUUUUCGAGGAAUGCCCCUAAGGACUUGUAUAUAUUUUAUUCCGUGGUAUAUGCCCUGUAGUACUUGUAUUUAGAGGCCAAAAGUAAAGCUUGCAGCAUUUUAUUUUUGUUUUUAUUUUACUUCACUAGGUGGGGACGACCUCUAGCCUCUUGUAUGUUCUUUUUAUUUUUUGUGUUUUACCUCAAUCGAAUGUCUUAAAAGCCAACUAGAUCAAGUAUGCAACCGCACUAGCUACAGGACUUGGGGAAUGCCUAACACCUUCUCCCGAGUCAAAUGAACCCUUUACCUGAAUCUCAGGUGUAGACUUAAUUUUAGAGUCUCAAGUGUUUUAAAAGGAAAAAUAUUUUCUAAAAAAAUUGGUGGCCUGACACACCGAAAUCAAAUGCCAGGUGGCGACUCUGAGGUAUUUUCCUUUUGAAAUAAAAUUUUGUCACUUUUCAAAUGAAAAACCUUUUUCGGGCUUUACUAAAUCUUUUUAUUAUUUUAAGAGGGUUUAGUGAGGUUUGUUAAAAAAAAGGGGUGUGACAAUUAUGUAUGGAUAUAAGCAUGAAAUUUUUUAGAAAUAUUUGGGGUUUUGGUAGAAAGACCUAGAAAUUUAAUUAUUGGAAUUUAUCCACGAUUUCGGGUAUGGAAUUUAGAGAAAAUUAUAUAUUUGAGUUUCUAAGGUCAUGGGCAAUGUUUAUCUUCGAACAAUUUUGGAUUCCGGGCACGUGGUCCCGAGGACAUUCUUGUCAACUUUUCAAUCAGGGUUAGAAGUUGUUGUAAAUUGGAUUAUAAUGAGUACCUUAGCAUAUAUUAAUAGAUUUGUAUGACCAUUAGCUAGUUUUGGAGCAUUGUGCGUUGGUUCAAGUCUUCGAAAGAAUGUAGAAUGCCGGUUAUGGAUCUUCAGAGCGAGGUGAGUCUCCUUUCUAAUCUUGUGAGGGGAAAAUUACCCCAUAGGUGAGUUAAAUUGGUUAUGUGCUCCUAUUUGUGGGGGCUAUGUGCGUACGAGGUGACGAGAGCCUGUGCGUAGCUACUAUUAUGCUAUUGUCCGGGUAGUCUAGGACCCAAAACCAUGUUAUACUUGGAUUAAUUGUGAACCCAUUUAUGGCUGAAUUGUUUGAAUGGCAUUAAAUUAAUAAAUGGAUUUCUAAAAAUACUUGAGCUUUGUUUUCUCAAUUAUUAAAGAGAAUUGGUCUUUCUUGGAUAAUUGCUCCAUGUGGACUUCUUGACCGACUGACUGUCUGUGUGUGUUUAUUUUGGAACGGGCCUAACGCCUUGGCAGAUUAAUAGAUGCAUCUAUGGGCGCGUCGUCGACCCUCGGCAAGUGCACAUUUAUUUUUGUUGGAUCAAGUCGUCGCCUCGGUGUGAUUUGCGCAUGCUUCUGUUGCUGCCUGGAACAUAUUUAAGAGUUUACUGUCUCACCCUGGCUCGAGAUCAUUUUGUUAAUAAUGAAAAGAACUUUGAAAAUUGCCUAUGAAAGAAUUGCGCGCUUACUUGUUUCCUCUAUCCGGAUUAAAAUCAUGUUUAUAAAAUAAAUUUACUUUUUAAUAUAUAUUUAUAUAUAUAUAUAUAUAUAAUGAAUAAUUAUUGGACCACUAGAGAGUGUCAAAGUUGACCAUCUCGUCUCUACUCCUUCGGGAUUAGGCAGGAUACUCAUUGGGUACACGUUAUUUUUGUACUCAUAAUACACUUGCUGCGCAUUUUGUUGCACAGGUAUAUGCAACUCAAGUGGCCUACUAGGCAUAACAUCACGGAUGAUUCUUGGACUAGGUGAGCUGCAUCAUUCGAGAAGGUCGUAACUAGAGCAGUCCCUUCUAGUGUACUGUAGUUACUUUUCGUCCAUUGUAUUCCGGACGGAUGUUGUAUUUUAUUUCUCUUAUCAGUAGAUGCUCAUGCACUUGUGACAUCAGGUUCUGGGAUGGUUUAAAGUAUUGUAUUAACUGUUUAACAUUUAAAUUUUAUUUGAGACUUAUUAUUUAAAAUUUCUAAAUAUGGAAGAUAAAUCUUAGAUUUCAAAAGUGUUAAAAA
rnacentral:lncRNA from 1 species